AGGAGAUACGAGAACGUAGCAGCCUGUAGAGGAAGUGGUGGAGCAGCCCUGCCUGCUGUGGAGAGCAGGGCACACGUGGCUGCCUGUCUGUCAGAAAUGGGGGAUCUUUCCAGACCUCUGCUGAAAGCUUAGAGGAGCCUCUCCACCUUAGAAUUCCACACAUCCCUAGCUCUGGGACAGGCUCCCUGACAAAAGGGGGCAGGAGCCAAAUUCGCCGAGGAACAGCCACAUUCUCAAUUCCCCUCCUGAACUUUCAGGAAGUACCCUUGAGCCUUAGACCUUGAGAAGUCUCACAGAAACAAGUGGAACGGUGCAAACCAUUGUUUUAUAAACCCAGUUCACAGAAGAAUCCUAUGUGUGCUCUAGAACUCACUGUGGGCAACACCUGUUUCUGCCUGGGGAUGUCACGGGACCAUUUCUGCAUCCCCAUCUGGGCAGGGGCUGAGAGCACGAAGUAUCUGGGAGCAGGAGCCUCCGGGUUCUAGCCCAGUCAGUCCCCAGUCAGUCUGAGACCCCAGGUUCCUCCUCUGUGGAGAGGAGUGCCCCAUCCCUUGGUGUUUUGUGCUUUCUUCUCCAGCAUACUUCUCUGCCUCUCCCCCAUCGCUGGUUAUCUGGCCAACAGGCUUAUUUAUGAGUAGUUCCUUACAGCCCGGUGAUCCCUCCUGAGGCAGGAACAGCUCGGGGGAGUGAACCAGGGCUGCAGGUGAGAAGGCCUGAGGGAAUUCCGAAUACGAGGAGGAAUCUGAGGCAGGCCUGGCAAGAUGGCCUUCUGUACAGGAUCCUUCAAACUGACUCCAGUGCAAAAGCUACCCUGAGAGGGAACCUGGGCCAGCCUGGGACAGGCAGCAGAGCUGGGCUACAUGGAACCAGGGAGUCCUCAGGUCGUUUUCCUCUUCAUCCGUCUCUUUCCCCCUGAGACCACCUUGCCUUUCCUACUUCCCUCUACACGUCUGUUCCCCUCUCUUCCCUAAAGGCUGGUUUCCUCUGCCCACCUAUGACCACACACGGCCACCAGCACCAAGUCCAGAAAACUUCUGAUUUCCAGCACCUACCACCUUCAGACUGCCCCAGCCAUCAGUAGCUCAGAUUCUCAAGGAGAUAAUCUGAUGGGCUUGGCCUAAUUCAGAAGGAAGAGGACCCAGGACCACAGCCGGUAGACCCUCCAUCUCUUUAUCUGAUAGAAAAUCUGUGCCCAGCUGAGGCACUCUUCCUGGGCAGAACUACUGCUUCUCCUGCCCUGCCAGGGAUCCUCCCUGCAGUCAGAAGUUUGUCCUAAAAGAGGCUGCCCCUCUAAGCUCUUGGCUUCCAUUUACCUACAGUCAGUUCUCGUUCCUUGUGGGAGUUACGUUCUAUGAAGUCUCCAUAAAUACUGAACUACCAAUGCUGAACCACUGCUCCCAGGGGAAAUAUCAGAGGGACGUGAAAGAAAACAAUCAAUUCUUCUCCUUCACAUCGUCUUUUUAAAACAAAGUCAGAGCUCUGCAUUCGAUGAACUUUCUGGGAAAUGUGACAUAGAUUAAAAAUAUUACCAACAUGUUUCCCCACCGUACAAAGUUCUUUUUCGGAGAUUAGCAACUUGCUCAAUUUAUUACGACAGCCAAACGAGAUGUCUCUUCUCCCCUACUGGGUAGUGCAACUCAUCAACACUUUCUGUUUUGAAACCCCUGCGCCUUCCAAAAAUAGCAUCUCUUGCACCUUAAUAUUGUGAU